rnacentral:rRNA from 1 species
CGGGUGGCGGACGGGUGAGUAAUGUCUGGGAAACGUGCCUGAUGGAGGGGGGUAACUACUGGAAACGGUAGCUAAUACCGCAUAACGUCGCAAGACCAAAGAGGGGGACCUUCGGGCCUCUUGCCAUCGGAUGUGCCCAGAUGGGAUUAGCUAGUAGGUGGGGUAACGGCUCACCUAGGCGACGAUCCCUAGCUGGUCUGAGAGGAUGACCAGCCACACUGGAACUGAGACACGGUCCAG